GCAAUAUCAGUGGCGUCAUUGCGCAAGCAAUAGUGCCCAGCUGAGAGUGACGGAUCCGUUGUCAGCGAAGCAAAAAAGAACGACCGUGAGAAAAGUUUUUAUCAAUUAGCUUUGUGCAUUGGCAAGAUGUGGACAACGUGAGUGUCGUGCGUGCGUGAACGGGGAUCGCAUUGUUCAGUGGGCAAUCACACUUGCUCGACUUGUGUCGCAUUCGGCGGGCAGAUCGAGGAAGUUUCCGCGAAAGUAGGUGAAGGUGCGCUUCGCUGUCGUUCCGUGCGAUUUCCUAGGACGUUGUGCGUGGGUGUGGGGCCCAAAGAUGGAUUGGAUCAUCAAUGAUGAGUUGGGGCUCACGCUGGGUCACGUUGUGGGUUGGGCAGCAGCAUCGGCAAUGGUAGUUGGGGGUGUCAUCCCCUACAUUCCACAGUAUCGGCAGAUAAAGCAGACCCAGGACCCCGAAGGAUUCUCCCUUCAUGUCUGCCUUGCUCUCCUCAUCGCGAACACAUUGAGGAUUUUCUUCUGGUUUUCCAAACGCUACGAGCUUCCGUUACUAGUCCAAAGUAUUGUGAUGAACCUCACCAUGUUCCUGAUGAUCCACCUCUGUGUCAAGGUGCGUCGCAGCAAUGCAAUAAUGAGGACACGAGAACGUGUCUUUUCCGGCGAAGACUUGAGGGAUCGCAGGGGGUCCUCAAAGUCAAGAGAAGAACGUAUUGGGAUUGGGGAUGGCGUCAUAACAGCACCAGCUGGACAAAUAAAGAGGGGCACCGCCUCGAAGCACUAUCUUACCGACUUCGACAUGAAGUACUUUUGGCAGUGGACGGACUUCCAAUCGUACCUGGAUUUUAUGUUGGUAAUAUGGGCCGUUGGGGCUGCUGUGACGUACCUCAUGCUCUCUGUGGAGUGGUUCAUGGAGACUGUGGGCUUCUUUGCCGUAUUCACAGAAGCCAUGCUGGGGGCACCGCAAUUUAUGCGGAACUACCACAACAAAUCCACCCACGGGAUGAGUAUUCAAAUGGUGAUUAUGUGGACCCUGGGUGAUAUCUUUAAGACUGUCUACUUUGUCCUACGGAGCGCCCCGACGCAGUUUUGGGUGUGUGGCAGCCUCCAGGUGAGCCUGGACUUGGCAAUUUUGCUGCAAGUUUAUAUCUACCGAAAAAAUCCGCCUCCGCACACGGUUCACCGUGGCGACUAGCAGUUUGCCCCCCACGCAGAUGCCCAUCAGUCCAGCCAGCGCCGCGACUCCGUCACACCAACACAACUAAGGUCGCGCGAGAACACACCGCACCACCAUCAGGCAUUCGGGAAUAACAACAACGGAAUACCAGGGGCCAUUGUAAUCCCAUCGUCGCGUGAGGGUACCCCCAUCAGGCGGUGCUCCUCUGAGAGGGAACGUAUGGGGUCGCUGAGACGAGACGCAAGCCUCAACAGCGUCCUUCUGCGUACCCUGGAGGUGGAAAUGGGGGAUGAUAUUGAGGACAAUGGCUACUGUUCCCAGGAUCAUGCCCAUAGCCAUCACCAUCACCAUCACUUCCACAGAAAAGAAUCACAGCAAUCAGACGGAAGCGACGGCGGGAUCUGCUAUGUCCAUGAGUAUGGAAGCUACACGAGUACACGUGAUCUGUGCGCCACGACGUCAAACAGUAGUCUGGCGUCCGUCCUGCAGUGCUCAGAGUGUGUUCGCGACGCUUUAUGACAUAACGUUUCGCUGGUCUCGUGGCCAGCGAUUGACAUUAACGCCCUGCUUCAGCAGACAAUAGCAGCAUCCAGGAGCCAGAUGGUGUCAGCCCAGACCCAGACGGACCUCUUUGAGGCAUGCGAGGCGACCUUCUUCACCCAAGAAACCCCAGAGAUUAUUUUAUAGCAGCGGCAGCGGCAUUUGCGCCAGCGGGGCAUUUAAACGACGUACUAAAAGAGAGAACCCAACACAAUGUGAUCUGCACACGCGAUUUCUGACCAAGAGAUAUGCUAAUGUGAGUGAAUGCGCGGGAUUGACGAGCAGACAGAUUUUUUAUUUACAUCCCAACGGGAAUGUAAAGGAGGAUAUAUUUUUUUAUAGAAAUGUUUUAAAAA